GCAAAUCAGUGGCUUGGGGUGGUGGGUGGAGCUUGCAGUAUUUUUCUAGAUUUUUGUAGUUGGGAAAUAAAUCUCCAGGGAUGGUCAGGGUUGCAGGCUAAUUCCAGUACAGCAGGAUCGGGGCUAUGAAAACAUGCACACAAAGGAAACUUCAAAGCUCUUCCUCGAAUCUGAAUGGGAAGGGGCCUUCGAAAGGUCAUGUUAACUUUGCACCAAAUGCCCUCUUGCUUUCCGAUGGCCCUGCACUCUGCAGACAUUUCUGGUCCAACCCGCUCAGUGGGGUCAGGAUUCAACAAGACCCUGAAGACAAAGACAGAAGAGUGAGGCUCCAAGUGGAACCAGGACUGUUGUCAGAACCACUCUCCUCUGUCCUCCACACCCCAAGCAAAACAAGCUGGACAUCAUAUAAGUCUCAGAGACAUCAUGUUUGCUGCUGAAGUUGCACAAAAACGGAGGGUUCAGGCGCUGGAAGAGUGUGUGUUCCCAGAAUAUCCUGACUUUGUUGGAGGAAUUUAAGGCUGAUAACAGAUUGAAAACACAACAUGCUUGGGGGCAGGGGGAUGGGAUGGAUUGGGAGAUUGGGAUUGACACACACACACACAUAUAUAUACUACUGUGUAUAAAAUAGAUAACUAAUAAAAAACCAACUAUAUAGCACAGGGAACUGUACUCGGCACUCCGUAGUGACCUAAAUGUGAAGGAAAUCUAAGGAAGAGGGGAAGGAAAUCCAAGGAAGAGGGGAUAUAUGUGUAUGUGUGGCUGACUGACUUUGCUAUACAGCAGAAACUGACAGAACAUUGCAAAGCAACUAUGUGUGUGUGCUCAGUCACGUCUGACUCUGCGACUCCAUGCACUGUAGCCCACCAGACUCCUCUGUUCAUGGGAUUCUCCAGGCAAGAAUACUGGAGUGGGAUGCCAUUUCCUCCUUCAGAGGACCUCCCCAACUCUGGGAUCAAACCUGUGUCUCUUAAGUCUCCGGCAUGGACAGGUGGAUUCUUUACCACUGCAUCACCUAAAGCCAACUGAACUCCAGUUUAAAGAAAGAAGAGGAAAACAGCCCAUGGUGACAAUCUCUGUGGGGAACUCUCGGGAUCGAGCAGAUUUCCUGAGAGCAGUCAGUAGUGCUGGGAGGAGGCUGAAAGUCUGUGAUAGAAGCAGCUCAAGGCCAAGCUAUGGGGUGACCCAGCAGGAGAUCUGUCGUGGGAAUCUCAGAGCUUGUAGGACUGCUCUGCCACUUCUGGGCACACAUCAGACCUCCAGUUAUUCACAGACUUCUCUUCCCACAGGCAUCAGGUUAAUAUUUUAAACAUUAACUCUGUUUUGUUUUGCUUCCGUUUUCUGUUUGUUGAGACCACCUGUGCUCAGGAGGGGUUAGCCAUACGCGUGCCAUCUUUAUCACCAUAUGCAGAGCUCACUAUUGUCUUACUUGAUAUUUUGACCCCUUCACUCCAUCUCCAACCUCAUUUUUCUCUUCUAUCAUUCUUUUUGUCCAGCCAAUCUGUAUUUCUAUUUGUAUCUAGGCCCAAGAUUAAUAUUAUUUUGUGCAUAUCUUUGAAAAUAUCCUUCAGUGGUCUUUUGGUUUACAUGUCAUUCUUUUCUCACUUUUUUUUUUUCCAGUCAAGAUUAUGAGAUUUUGAGAUGGUUCCAAGUUAAUAUAAAAGAAAAAAUGGACCCCUUAUCUGCUGAAUGGUACUCAUCAUUUUCAUAUAACAAUUUAUUUACCUACUUUUCCUAUGAAUAAGCUUCUAGGUGUUUCCAAAUCUUCACCAUUACAAACAAUUCUACAAGAGCAUACCCACACAUUUCUUUGGGGGCCUGGGCAAGAGAGUCUCUAGGCUCAGCAUCCCUGAGUGCAGGGUUGUAGAAUUAAUUGGUCCAUAUUCCAUUUCACUUAACACUUCAAUCUGCUUCCCAGAAAGACUGUACCCGUUAACAUUCCCAGGAGGUUUUCUGUUUUCCUUCACCUUUGGUGGCACUUGAUAUCAUCCAACUUUUUAACACUUGCCAAUCUGGCAUGUGUAAGACCCAUCUCUCCUUCUUAACCACAUUUUCCUCCUGUCUUGGUCUCCUGCUUCCCCUUUCAAAGCCUCACAUUGUUCUUUCUCACUGGCUCAGGGAAGGGAUAUGAAACCUGAAGUACCAGAAGGACGGAGGAGGAAGAAGUAUCUCCUUCUAGCUUUUGAGUUUCAAAAUCCUUCACUCAUGGGGGACCAAAGAAGUUUCAGAGCACAGAAAAGAGAUUUAGGAGGAAAAUAUUAUGGAAAAAAGGGGGAAGUCAAGCAAUCACUUUGGCCCAGCCUGACCUAAACCAUGAUGGCUGGGCUGAGUGAAGUAGAAUGUCAAAAAAGAAGGAAAGAAAAGUUCUGUGGUUUGCAAACCAGACACUGAUGUUGAGGCAGCAGCAUAGAUACAGGAAGUGGGCUUUAAGGGCACUAAGGAGGGUCGGUGUCUGUGGUUCCCUAGAUGGUGUCUUCAUGUAAUACUUCUCAAUUUGACUAGUUGUUACAGAUAAUGUAUUAUUUUACCAGAUAAUAAUAUUACCAGAUAUUUUCAUUUUCCCAAAAGAAUCCAAAAUUAGAAUUUUUAUGUGGAAGCUCGCCUUCAAAAAAAACAAAAGGUCACUGUGGGAAACUACAAACAUAUUUAAAGUUAGGCAAAAAAAUAAAAAUAAAGUUAGGGAAAAUGGUAAAAUGAACUUCCUUGUACCCAUGACUAAGUUUCAACAGUUAUCAACUCAUGACCAAUUUUGUUUCUUUUAUAACCCCACCCUUCUCUAGUCCUGGAUGAGUUUAAAGUAAAUCCCAGACUCAUAAUUUUCUUUGUAAAGAUAAGAACUCACUUCUUUAAAAACCAUAACACAGUAUCAUAACUAAAUAAACCAUAGUAAUUU
ensembl:lncRNA